GCGAGGUCACGGAAAGACCACGAUUAUUCUCUGCAGGGGGAGCCGAUGACUGUAGAAUUCUGCCUUUUGUCUGCAAUGGCAGUGCGAGAGGAGUAAGGAAAUUGGCGUCCCUCAACAGUUACUCCCUUCUACAUUCCAGCUGAGCCAUGGAGUGGAAGGUCACAUACACAGAAGGGAGGAAAAGAGAU